rnacentral:rRNA from 1 species
AUUGAACGCUGGCGGCAGGCCUAACACAUGCAAGUCGAACGAGUGGCGGACGGGUGAGUAAUGUCUGGGAAACUGCCUGAUGGCGGGGGAUAACUACUGGAAACGGUAGCUAAUACCGCAUACCAUCAGAUGUGCCCAGAUGGGGUUGGCUAGUUGGUGGGUAAACGGCUCACCAAGGCGACGAUCCCUAGCUGGUCUGAGAGGAUGACCAGCCACACGGGAGCUGGGACACGGUCGAGAAUCCUACGGGAGGCAGCAGGCGGGAAUAUUGGACAAUGGACGCAAGCCUGAGGCAGCCAUGCCGCGUGUAUGAAGAAGGCCUUCGGGUUGUAAAGUACUUUCAGCGGGGAGGCGUUACCCGCAGAAGAAGCACCGGCUAACUCCGUGCCAGCAGCCGCGGUAAUAC